rnacentral:rRNA from 1 species
GCAAGUCGAAUGGCAGCAGGAGUGAAGAAGCUUUCGGGCUAAUUUACUUGCUGGCGAAUGGCGGACGGGUGAGUAAUACGUAGGAAUUUGUCUUGAAGCGGGGGACAACCCGGGGAAACUCGGGCUAAUACCGCAUACCACUCUUCGGAGGAAAGAUGCCAUGCAAAUGGUGUCACUUUAAGAGGAGCCUACGUUGGAUUAGCUAGUUGGUAAGGUAAAAGCUUACCAAGGCGACGAUCCAUAGCUGUUCUGAGAGGAAGAUC